CCUACGGGUGGCUGCAGUGGGGAAUAUUGGACAAUGGGCGAAAGCCUGAUCCAGCCAUGCCGCGUGUGUGAAGAAGGCCUUCGGGUUGUAAAGCACUUUCAGUGGGGAAGAAAGCCUUGGGGCUAAUACCCUCGAGGAAGGACAUCACCCACAGAAGAAGCACCGGCUAACUCCGUGCCAGCAGCCGCGGUAAUACGGAGGGUGCGAGCGUUAAUCGGAAUUACUGGGCGUAAAACGCGCGUAGGCGGUCUGAUAAGCCGGUUGUGAAAGCCCCGGGCUCAACCUGGGAACGGCAUCCGGAACUGUCAGGCUAGAGUGCAGGAGAGGAAGGUAGAAUUCCCGGUGUAGCGGUGAAAUGCGUAGAGAUCGGGAGGAAUACCAGUGGCGAAGGCGGCCUUCUGGACUGACACUGACGCUGAGGUGCGAAAGCGUGGGUAGCAAACAGGAUUAGAUACCCGUGUAGUC
rnacentral:rRNA from 1 species